GCCAGGCGUGGUGGCUCACGCCUGUAAUCCCAGCACUUUGGGAGGCCGAGGUGGGCGGAUCACCUGAGGUCAGGAGUUCAAGACCAGCCUGACCAACAUGGAGAAACCCCGUCUCUA
ensembl:misc_RNA Metazoa_SRP Metazoan signal recognition particle RNA